UACGGGGGGCGCAAGCGUUGUUCGGAUUUACUGGGCGUAAAGGGCGCGUAGGCGGUCGUGACAGGUCACUUGUGAAAUCUCCGGGCUUAACUCGGAACGGGCAAGUGAUACUGUCGGACUAGAGUACAGAAGGGGCAACUGGAAUUCUCGGUGUAGCGGUGAAAUGCGUAGAUAUCGAGAGGAACACCUGCGGCGAAGGCGGGUAGCUGGGCUGAUACUGACGCUGAGGCGCGAAAGCCAGGGGAGCGAACGGG
rnacentral:rRNA from 1 species